UGGGGAAUAUUGCACAAUGGGCGAAAGCCUGAUGCAGCAACGCCGCGUGAGCGAAGAAGGCCUUUGGGUCGUAAAGCUCUGUCCUUGGGGAAGAAAAAAAUGACGGUACCCAAGGAGGAAGCCCCGGCUAACUACGUGCCAGCAGCCGCGGUAAUACGUAGGGGGCAAGCGUUAUCCGGAAUUAUUGGGCGUAAAGAGUACGUAGGUGGUUGGAUAAGCGUGGGGUGAAAGGCAGUGGCUUAACCAUUGUAAGCCCUGCGAACUGUCCGACUUGAGUGCAGGAGAGGAAAGCGGAAUUCCUAGUGUAGCGGUGAAAUGCGUAGAUAUUAGGAGGAACACCAGUGGCGAAGGCGGCUUUCUGGACUGUAACUGACACUGAGGUACGAAAGCGUGGGGAGCAAACAGG
rnacentral:rRNA from 1 species